CUCAUCAGGGCAAGAAGAUUUUAGGAUUGACAGAUUGAGAGUUCUUUCUUGAUUGGUCUAGUGGUGGUGCAUGGCCGUUCUUAGUUGGUGGAGUGAUUUGUCUGGUUAAUUCCGUUAACGAACGAGACCUUAACCUGCUAACUAGUGUUCCGAUCUCAAAUCGGAAGCACUUCUUAGAGGGACUAUGUGAUGUAAUCACAUGGAAGUUUGAGGCAAUAACAGGUCUGUGAUGCCCUUAGAUGUCCUGAGCUGCACGCGUACUACAAUGGCACUUUCAACGAGUUUUUCCUGAUCCGAAGGGAUUUGGGUAAUCUUUUUAGUGAGUGCCGUGAUUGGGAUAGAUCUUUGUAAUUGUGGAUCUUGAACUAGGAAUUCCUAGUAAGCGCGAUUCAUCAAAUCGUGCUGAUUACGUCCCUGCAAAAUGUACACACCGCCCGUCGCUUCUACCGAUUGAGUGUUCAGGUGAGUCUUCUUGAUAGUUGCAAAAUUAGAAAUUAAACAAACCUUAGCACUUAGAGGAAAAAGAAGUCGUAACAAGGUUUCCGUAGGUGAACCUGCGGAAGGAUCA
rnacentral:rRNA from 1 species